rnacentral:lncRNA from 1 species
CGUCAGCCAGCUCACACAUCCCUCCCAAACUCAAAGAUGGAGGCAGAAUGCCUGAGCAACCCUGUGGAGCAGCCACUUACAGGAGGGACUUCUUGAGCAUAGACUGCCUGCCCUGCCUGGGAGCUGCUAAUCACAGUCACAAGGAUGUACUGCCUCACACCUGGGAGGAUGAACUGUGGGCGAGCUGCACAAUGGUAAAGCCACAGGAGCAAAACAGUAUGAAGACCAAUUCCUCAUAAUACAGAUAAUAA